rnacentral:lncRNA from 1 species
UAUCCCCAUGUUACAGGUCCUAGCAAACAAGCUCUAGUGUAAGACUUCUAUGAAAGGGCACAAGGUGGUGUCCAGCUUUGAAAUAUCUUCAAGGGAAGCUUCAACUCCCAGUGAACCAGUCUCAUAGUGUCAGGGUUAAAAUUAGAACUAUUUGGCCUUGCCUUUUAGUCUUCAUCUGCCUUUAUACAAUUCAGAUGCAAAGAACUACAUCAGUUUGGCAGUUUAUUUUUGUAUUUAUUAAGUGUUUAAGUGGACAGUAUUUUUUUUUUACUCAGUGUUACCCUAAUGUAUUUUGUUAUCAGCCAGGUCCAAACAUGCCUCUAAAUGAUUCCUUAUUGGCCUGACCACAUGGCUUUUAGCUAUAGAAGUUUAAAGAGAAACAAUGUCUCCAGUGACAUGUAAUAAUAGAAAAGAUCCCCUG